rnacentral:rRNA from 1 species
AGGUGGAUCGGUCCGAGGUGUAAGCGUGGUAACACGUUGAGCUGACGGAUACGAAUCGGUCGAGGGCUUAAUCUG